rnacentral:rRNA from 1 species
AAGCUCGUAGUUGAAUUUCGGGGUUAGUAGGUUGGUCAUGCCUCCGGUAUGUACUGAUCUCACUGAUUCCUCCUUCCUUAUGAACCGUAAUGCCAUUAAUUUGGUGUUGCGGGGAAUUUGGACUGUUACUUUGAAAAAAUUAGAGUGUUUAAAGCAGGCUAACGCUUGAAUACAUUAGCAUGGAAUAAUGAAAUAGGACGUUCGAUCUUAUUUUGUUGGUUUCUAGGAUUGACGUAAUGAUUAAUAGGGAUAGUUGGGGGCAUUAGUAUUCAAUUGUCAGAGGUGAAAUUCUUGGAUUUAUUGAAGACUAACUACUGCGAAAGCAUUUGCCAAGGAUGUUUUCAUUAAUCAAGAACGAAAGUUAGGGGAUCGAAGACGAUCAGAUACCGUCGUAGUCUUAACCAUAAACUAUGCCGACUAGGGAUCGGAUGAUGUUAAUUUUUUAAUGACUCAUUCGGCGCCUUACGGGAAACCAAAGUGUUUGGGUUCCGGGGGGAGUAUGGUCGCAAGGCUGAAACUUAAAGGAAUUGACGGAAGGGCACCACCAGGGGUGGAGCCUGCGGCUUAAUUUGACUCAACACGGGGAAACUCACCAGGUCCAGACAUAGUAAGGAUUGACAGAUUGAGAGCUCUUUCUUGAUUCUAUGGGUG